rnacentral:rRNA from 1 species
ACCUGCGGAAGGAUCAUUGUCGUGACCCUAACAAAAAAUAGACUGUGAAUAUGUCAUCCAUGCUGUUGGGAGAUGGUCCUUGCACCGUUUCUUGGCAUAGGACCCUCUCCUCUUGAAGUUGAGGGUCCUCAAAAGAACCCGGCGCCGGUUUGGCGUCAAGGAACACUGAUAUUACUUGCUUGGGGCUAUGACUGGCUUGCCAGCCGAGCCUUGUGCUGUGAUGCUUACCUAAUCCAUAAGACUCUCGGCAACGGAUAUCUUGGCUCUCGCAUCGAUGAAGAACGUAGCAAAAUGCGAUACCUGGUGUGAAUUGCAGAAUCCCGUGAACCAUCGAGUUUUUGAACGCAAGUUGCGCCUAAGGCCUCUUGGUUGAGGGCACGUCUGCCUGGGCGUCACGUCAAAAGACACUCCCCUCUCAUCAUGGUGUGGGAUGUGGCAUAUGGCCUUCCGUUCCACAUAAAUGAGUGGUAGGCUAAAGUAUGUGGCUGCCGGCUUCGGUUCCGGUCACAGGACUUGGUGGAUGACACAUGUUGUUCUGGGGUAGUUGUGACUUGUACUGCUUUCGGUGCAYAUUGGCCAUUGGACCCAAAAAUCUAGCAUUGGUUGCUUGCACCGCGACCCCAGGUCAGUCGGGAUUACCCGCUGAAUUUAAGCCUAUCAAUAAG